UACGUAGGGUGCGAGCGUUGUCCGGAAUUAUUGGGCGUAAAGAGCUUGUAGGCGGUUUGUCGCGUCUGCUGUGAAAAUCCGGGGCUCAACCCCGGACUUGCAGUGGGUACGGGCAGACUAGAGUGUGGUAGGGGAGACUGGAAUUCCUGGUGUAGCGGUGGAAUGCGCAGAUAUCAGGAGGAACACCGAUGGCGAAGGCAGGUCUCUGGGCCACUACUGACGUGAGAAGCGAAAGCAUGGGGAGCGAACAG
rnacentral:rRNA from 1 species